rnacentral:tRNA from 1 species
AUUAAAUUAAAUUAAAUAUUAAUUUAAUUAAAAAUAAAUAAUAAUAAUAAUUUAAAAUUAAAUAAAUAAAUAAAUAUAAUUAAUAAAUAAAUAAUUAUUUAAUUAUUUUAUUAAAUUUAUUAAUUAUUAAAUAUAAUUAUUUAAUU